ACAUGCAUGGCUCGUCAACCUUGAUCUACGUUGAGAAAGAUUUGAAAGCCCCUCUCACGAGCUGGAAAACGAUUUUCAUUUGAACCUUUAGUGCUGUGUCUCAUUUUAACCAAAGUGCAUUAUCUUUUUGUUUGUGAUAGUGGGCAUUUUCACAUCUCUCAUCUUUAGCAAACUAUCAAUUGUAUUGAGUGGAUACACACUUUUUGUUUCUAAACACACAAUACAACGUUUUUAUUGCAAAGAUACAUCAUGACAAUAAUGAAUUUGUCUGACGCAGACACACACUCACACACAUACUCUACCUCAUCCUACCCUGCAGCCCCAAUGGUCCCAAAUGAUUGCAAAUAAGUCAAGUCUGCUUUAACAUCAGUAAGGGGAAACUGGUAGAAGAGAGUUUUUAUAUGGUAAGUAACUACUGGUAACUGGUAAGUAACUACUGGUGAAGAGUUUAGGCAGGUGGCACAAUUCCACGUUGAGUGACUGAGGACAGGUUGAAGAGCUUAGAGAAUUCAUUGUUAAGGCUAUCAAUACCAUUGAUAAGACCUUCUUGCCUGGUAAAUGGAAAUUGUGGUGCUUGCAGUUGGGGCUACAUAUGGUGGCAUUUGACUGUAUGAAGUUGCUAGUGUUGUAGAACUCAAGUCCAGGAUUGUUGAGAAGAGAAAGAUCAGCUGGAGAUAGUUGUGGGCUAUGGAUGCUAAUCACUCCCCACAACUAUCUACUAGAACCUCAGUCAGUGGGUGGGUGAAGACAGAAGCUGCAAGUUGUGUAUGACUGUUGACUCAUUCUGUUUGGUUAUAAAACUACCUUGAUUUGGAGAUUGCUUGUUAUCUCGGAAGGCAACUUCAAGUUCCAGUGUGUUGUUGUGACUGCUAUGACAUCAAACAUGGUGGUAUAUUCUGAACAAGCGUCGUACGUCACAUACCUAAGGAACCAAUCCUGUCAACUUGCGGGGUGGGGCUUUAUAUAUAAUUGACCGCCCGCUCCCACCUGCAGCAAAGCAUUAGGGGUUUUAUCAAUGCCAGAGGAGCAACUUUAACAAAAAGCAUCUGAGAACAGUUGGGUCUUAAGUCUGGAUUUGAAACUGGCUACAGUUAAUCUAUUGCUGAAUAUGGUGGUUGUGCCAAGGCCUUUGCACCGUGUUCUUCAAGCAACCUAAUUCCCUAUUGAAGGCACAUAACUUGCAAAACUAUUUUAUGAAAUAAAGAAAUAAACAGGCAUCUUUCACCCUCAAACCAUUUGUUCAUUCCUUACUCAAUGUGAUCUCUGGACACUGGGUAAUUAUAGCCUAACAUGCCCUCCCCCUUGUGUCGCAGCUGGAUGUUAAAGGCUUUGAUUGCAUGUCAUCUAUUUUCAUAUUCUGCCUGAGUUAUGUCCCAUAAAGCCAGCGUGUGGCACAGGCUAAUAAUACCCAGUGUCACAUUUCAAAUAAAAAAAGCGCUAUUUAUAUCCCUUCUCAUUAACCUGUGUUGCAUUUGGGUAUAACUCACGCUGCUUUCAUCAGCCACCUGCAGGUCACUGGGCCACUUAUCCUCCUCUGUCUGCCCCCGCCAAACUGCCGUCACAAGCUGCCCAGACAUUACCCAUCAGCCCACCACAACCAGAC
ensembl:lncRNA